CGGACGGGUGAGUAAUGUCUGGGAAACUGCCCGAUGGAGGGGGGUAACUACUGGAAACGGUAGCUAAUACCGCAUAACGUCGCAAGACCAAAGAGGGGGACCUUCGGGCCUCUUGCCAUCGGAUGUGCCCAGAUGGGAUUAGCUAGUAGGUGGGGUAAUGGCUCACCUAGGCGACGAUCCCUAGCUGGUCUGAGAGGAUGAUCAGCCACACUGGAACUGAGACACGGUCCAG
rnacentral:rRNA from 1 species